rnacentral:lncRNA from 1 species
UAGGAAAAAAGCAAACAUGCAGUCACCUAAAUAUAGGUGUCUGAAUCUGGAGCAGAAGGCCAGCCUCAAUGUUUAGUCCUGUGAGUUCACCCUCUAAUCAUUGUGAAAGUUCAAUUGAAAAUUUUGUAUUCAAGUAAUUAUUUUUCAUAGCAGGUAUAUAACAUGCAUAAACCAGACAACUUGUAUAGUGCUUGGAUCAUGCAGUGACCACUGAACCUGAUCAAUACAUGUUUCAUCUUCUUUUUCCUCUUAAAGUUUGUGCCCCUGGUUCUCUUCUCUUUUCCUGCAACUCUUGGACUUGGAGCAGUCUUUUAAGGACUUAGUGUGUUAUUUUCUCUUAGAUAGUUUGCAGACCUGUAUCUUCAUUCUUUCCAUGUUCCACUCAUUUUAGGAGCAUUUAUUUCUUUUGCCUUAUAAUGAAAUGAAGAUCAAAUAGACUUUCUGUGUUGCUCUGAUUUAGCAAAUAGCCUGAUUCUGGCUUUUUUUUGGAAUACAAGCAGGACAGGUGCUGAAAUAGUACUGACUUGUGGCCUUUUUCUCUCCCUCCCUUUCCUUCUNNNNNNNNNNNNNNNNNNNNNNNNNNNNNNUGAAGAACCAGCCUUCAGAAAUUUUAUGGAAGAGACACGGAUGAAGUACCAGAGAAGAAGCAACCAGGAUGAAUGAGACUCUCAGAAACAAGAGAGCUUGGAAUCCCUUGUAAUGGAGUGAACAAUAAAGUAACUAUUGGUCAUGAGUUAAAGGUCUCAUAUCCAACUGACUGCACGUUUGGCCGUCUGCCACUGUGACUUCCUAAAGCCAGAAGAACCAGAUAGCACUUUCUUUCGCUCCAGACUCUUUAGAUGCACCUGUUGAGACCUUAGAUUUUGAGCUCUGACAGCAUUAUCAUCUAGAGAACUUAAGACAGACCUUCAAGAGUGCAGUCUUUUCACCUCAUGCAGAGAGGUGUCUUCUGCAUCCAGCCCAUCCAUCUAGAUGCACAGAAGCUGCAUCUCAAAGACAUUACAUGGUCAGAAGAAAAUUCUAAGAAAAUUCUGAGUAAAGAAAGUUCACAGAAGGGAAAGUAAUAAGAGGAGUCCAGCUUGGUUCUCAGCGGGUUGAGAACAGAAGCAUAUGUGGCUGUAUAUACCAGCUGCAUGUCUCUGUAUGGAACACAAAGGGGUAUAGAGCAG